rnacentral:rRNA from 1 species
AUUGAACGCUGGCGGUAUGCCUUACACAUGCAAGUCGAACGAUGAAGCCCAGCUUGCUGGGUGGAUUAGUGGCGAACGGGUGAGUAACACGUGAGUAACCUGCCCCUGACUCUGGGAUAAGCGUUGGAAACGACGUCUAAUACUGGAUAUGCCUACUGGUCGCAUGGCCUGGUGGUGGAAAGAUUUUUUGGUUGGGGAUGGACUCGCGGCCUAUCAGCUUGUUGGUGAGGUAAUGGCUCACCAAGGCGACGACGGGUAGCCGGCCUGAGAGGGUGACCGGCCACACUGGGACUGAGACACGGCCCAGACUCCUACGGGAGGCAGCAGUGGGGAAUAUUGCACAAUGGGCGAAAGCCUGAUACAGCAACGCCGCGUGAGGGAUGACGGCCUUCGGGUUGUAAACCUCUUUUAGUAGGGAAGAAGCGAAAGUGACGGUACCCGCAGAAAAAGCACCGGCUAACUACGUGCCAGCCGCCGCAGUAACAC